AAAACAAAAGGGUUCCAAAAGGGUUCUGUGGCAGUCCCCAUAGUGGACAGAAGUAUUUUGGGUUCCAUGUAGUACAUCAAGCUGCGAGGGGAAAAUGAUUGUUUGUGAGCACAGGCACAUUUACUGUAGGUGGUCUGCCUCUGAAACUAGCUGAGGAUCAAAGACGUGGGUUUCUUUAUUACUGUACAUUGAUCCAUGUGUAUUUGACGGGACGGGACGGGGGGGACGGGGGGGUAGUACCACGAUGAAAUAAUAAACACAUGAUAAACAACCACAGCUACUGCUAGUGUGUAUUAAUCCAUUUGUGGUAUAGACUUCCGGGGUGAACACAGUCCUUGGCAGUGUGAUAUUCAGUGGUGUGUUGCUUAGUCUAGUCAACCAAUGCUUAUUUAUCAUGUGGCUACUGUUAAUGGUGCAGUAGAAGCACAACCAUAUCUGUUUCUCAUUCAUCACCACAGACCAAGUGGGAAAUAUACAGAAUCACAACAACAAUACUCUCAAUGAUAACUCCAAUGUAGUAACCUGGGUAGCUGAGAGUUGACAUAGUGAUGUCUUUUAUUUCAUCUUGAAAGCUACAGUAUUAUGCCAAGGCUCACUAGUACACAACUGUAUAAGGCCGUAUUAAUGAGAUACAGUAUUGUGAAGAGGUCCUGUGUUUGGCUGUGGGAGGAAGUACAGUAUGAUCCAUCACACACACACAAAAUAGUACAGAAAGAGACGGUCCUAUGUACUCAGCACGGCCACGGACUCACUGUUUUGGGACGUGUGCACAUUGAGUUUCCAGCGCUUACAGACAGGCUCCAGUCUCGACCAUGCAGGAGGGUGACGAUAAUAACAGCACAACACUCAUUGUCAUCAGACGUAUGAUCUUAGCUCUACUUUGUUCUAUCAACUGAUCACACAACCUUUCCAAGAGGAAUAGAUAUAGCACAUUUUUACAGGAAGUAUUGCUAUUGAAAUGUUUUGUAUUUUACGUUAAAGAUUAAACUACUCGAUUUUUAUUGCGUACCUUGCUC
ensembl:lncRNA